rnacentral:rRNA from 1 species
AUAUGGCGACAUAGAGNGGAACCCGAAAACCUGUCUCAGUUCGGAUUGGAGUCUGCAACCCGACUCCAUGAAGCUGGAUUCGCUAGUAAUCGCGCAUCAGCCACGGCGCGGUGAAUACGUUCCCGGGCCUUGUACACACCGCCCGUCACACCAUGAGAGUCGAUAACACCCGAAGCCUGUGAGCUAACCUUUUAGGAGGCAGCAGUCGAAGGUGGGGUUGGUGAUUGGGGUGAAGUCGUAACAAGGUACC